GGUUUAACUCUUAAAUUAAAAUGCAGAACAUUGAUGAAAAUGAGCUACCUUUUCUAGUCACUGUUAAUCCUCCUCUAACACCAAAAAGUACAUUGCAUAAAUGGUCACUGGGAUUGUCAAUUCCAUCAGUUGCAGCAACAAAGGCUGUUCUUGAGCUUGCUUACAUCCAAGGGAAGCGAAGAAUUUGGUUUUGUGGAGCAUACCAAGGUCAUGGGAUCCUUGAGGAUGGUGUCAAGGCGGGUAUGGUUGCGGCAAAUGGCAUUCUUAAAAAGACUUGUGAAAUUCUGAACAACCCGAAAACUAUGGCACCAUCUUUGAUGGAAAUUAGUGCGAGGUCAUUUGUUGUUUGGUUCCUUCAAGAAUUUAUUGCUAUUGGUACCUUAAUUUUAUUGGAAGAAGGUGGUGCAACAUUCACAUUCGAAGGAACAAGAAAGAAGAACUCUGUAAAAGUUUAUCUGAAAGUUGAAAAUCCUCGAUUUUAUUGGAAGGUUGCUACAGAAGAUGAGUUAGGUCUAUUUGGCGCAUACAUUAAGGGGGACUUUUCUUUUGUUGAUAAAACAAAUGGCCUUUUAAACUUGAUUGUGAUUCUUAUUGUAAACUAUGAGCUAAAAAAUUAUUCCUCGACGUCUAACAAAAGAGGUUGGUGGACACCGAUGUUUUCAACAGCGAUAAUAGCAUCUGCAAAGUAUUUCUGUCAUCAUGUUUUGAUGCAUAACUCUGUUACUCAAGCACGUAGGAACAUAUCACAUCACUAUGAUUUGAGUAACGAGUUUUUUUCCCUCUUCCUUGACGAGACUAUGUCAUACUCAUGUGCAUUAUUCAAGAGUGAGGAUGAAGACUUCAAAGCCGCACAAAUGAGAAAAAUAUCUUCGUUAAUUCAAAAGGCAAGAGUUGAUAAGGACCACCACAUUCUUGAGAUAGGAUUUGGUUGGGGAAGUUUAGCUAUUGAAAUCGUGAAACAAACUGGAUGUAAAUACACAGGCAUCACCCUUUCUGAAGAGCAACUCAAAUACGCAGAAACUAAAGUGAAGGAAACUGGCCUAGAGGACCAAAUCAAAUUUCUACUAUGUGACUACAGGCAAUUGCCUGACACUUCCAAAUAUGAUAGAAUUAUAUCCUGUGAAAUGAUAGAACAUGUCGGCCAUAAAUAUCAUGAAGAGUUUUUUGGAUGUUGUGACUCAUUAUUGGCAGAGGAUGGGAUUUUAGUCCUGCAGUUCACUUCAGUCCCAGAAGGCAGAUAUGAUGAUUACAGACGGAGCCCAGGGUUCAUUAAAGAAUACAUAUUUCCUGGACUGUGUGUACCUUCACUUACUAGAUUAACAUCCGCCAUGGCUGCAUCAUCUCGACUUUGGUAUGUGCUAAAAUCAUCGGAGAUCACCAUGUUACAUUGUGGAGCAUGUGGAAAACAUAGGAGCACAUUAUUAUCAAACACUCGCACACUGGAAGAAAAACUUAAUGCAAAACCAAAGCAAAAUACUUGAGUUGGGCUUCAACCAAGAAUUCAUCCGUACAUUCGAGUGCUAUUUUGAUUAUGUAGCUGCUGGCUUUAAGACCAAGACACUUGGGAACUACCAGGUUGUGUUCUCAAGGCCGGGAAACGUUGCCACAUUUGGAGAUCCUUACAAGGCUAUUAUUUCAGCUUAUUGAAAAAUGCAUGUAUCCUUGUGGAAAGACCAACUUUAAUAACUUCUUGCAUGCAAAAACCAAAUAUAUAUGGGCGUUUCAUUGGUCGUGCUUAUUAUGUUGACAUAUAUCAUAUUGUUGUGAAACUUGAAUUGGUUGUAUAUCAUGUAUUUUGAAUUUAUUAUAAACAACCCGAAGUUGCAUAA